rnacentral:pre_miRNA from 1 species
UUUCUACUCCCUCCGUCCGAAAAUACUUGUCAUAAAAAUGGAUAAAAAGAGAUGUAUCUAAAACUAAAAUACGUCUAGAUACAUUUCCUUUUAUCCAUUUUGAUGACAAGUAUUUCCGGACGGAGGGAGUAUUUG